rnacentral:lncRNA from 1 species
GACUGUAAAUUCUUCUCUCCCUGGGCCCUGCCACCAGGCUGGGAAGUUGACAUCAUCCCCACAAUGACGACCAUCGGCUCUGGGAUUGGCAUCUUUGGAGUGGCCACGGUUCUCUGUGACCUGCUGCUGCUCCACAUCCUGCCCAAGAGGCACUACUACAAGCAGAAGAAGUUCAAGUAUGCGGAGGACAUGGGGGCCGGGGGGCGGGGAGCAUGACCCCGCGCCACCAGCUCCACCCU